rnacentral:rRNA from 1 species
UACGGGGGGGGCAAGCGUUGUUCGGAAUUACUGGGCGUAAAGGGCGCGUAGGCGGUUUGCUAAGUUGAAUGUGAAAACUCUGGGCUUGACCCAGAGCCUGCAUUCAAUACUGGCAGGCUAGAGUUCUGGAGGGGAUAGCGGAAUUCCUGGUGUAGCGGUGAAAUGCGUAGAUAUCAGGAGGAACACCGGUGGCGAAGGCGGCUAUCUGGACAGAGUCUGACGCUGAGGCGCGAAAGCUAGGGGAGCAAACAGG